ensembl:lncRNA
GGCAAGAAUACUGGAGUGGAUUGCCAUUUCCUUCACCAGGGGAUCUUUCCCACCCAGGGAUCGAACCUACGUCUCCUGUAUUAGCAGGCAGGUUCUUUACCACCGAGCCACCAGGGAAGCCAUAGGGAGGGCUUGGCUCACUACUAACAGGGUUUGGCCACUCCUCUGUACCAGGCUCACACUAGGUGCUGCAGAGGCAAAGAUGGAGUAUGAAGGGCUCGUAUAACGGCGGAGACAGGCCUGCAAAUGCCUAAGAUCCACAAACCAUGGUUUCCAUGCUUUGGCUGCUGUAUAUGCAGCUGGGGCAGAGGUGAACCAUGCUGAGCAGGAAAGGGGUAAGAAGGCACUAGAAGACUGUUUCCCAGUCUCUGUGUAGUCAAGUGAGGUCAUCAAACUAGUUUUGGCCGAUGGAUUACACUGGAAGUAAUGUAUGUCACUUCCAAAAUCAAGCUGGAACAGCAAGCGGAUGGGUAAGGCGAC